rnacentral:lncRNA from 1 species
CAGCUCCGUUUGCUGGUAAUGAUGCAGAGCCACACGUCCCUGCCCACCAUGAAAGAGCGACAGCCAUCACAGGAGGGCUCUGGGGACAAUGCUGACGCUGGCGAGCGGGCGCUGGCUGUUCCACAGACUUUCCAGAGGGGAUGGGAGUCUGCAUUCACAAGGGUUUCUUCUUACAGCUUGUGGAAUCCUCAGAAACAUGAGCUUUCAGCUCCUGCUCCCACCAAAGAAUUUCCUCGUUGGAAGGCUGCUGUACCCUUUUCUGGCAAUUCUGGUGUGAGACAGCAAUCUGCGUAAUAUCAGUUGUAUUGUCUUCCAAGUGAGCCAUCUAAAGGACGCUCAGGACUCACGUAACUGCAACUGGAGCUGUUCUCCAGCUCCCCGAACAGGCACCCAGACAAGCCUGGACGCCGCCAGUCAUCAUUCCAGACAUGAUGUAGUUUGGUUUUUGCUGUGAUGGAAAGAAACACUUCUCACUGCGUCUGUGUCUCCUCCUUCUAAUGUUUGGAGGAACUGAGGCCAUCCGAAAGCACGAAGCAACAGCUCACAGCUUAGCCCAGCCAUUAAGGCUUUCUGAAAUCUCAGUAGGUGUAGAGAAAUAGCCCACUGCUCUAGCCCACCUUGACUGCAUCCGGUCUCCGGUGGACUUUCCUGUCUUUGACCAAAUUUUAGCAGCUUAACUGUGGGACCCCAGCAGGUUGGCCUGUAUCCUCUGGACCAGAAGGUUUCUUCUAACCUCAUUUGAGCCAGUGUUUUUUCCGCAUGAGAGUCAUGAAAUUCAUUGCUUUAUGAUGUGAUUCUGACCCCAGGAAGCCCCAGAGCUACAGGAGACAGAGACAGCUGUUAGUCUAGCAGAAACUGCCAGGUUUGUGAAGACCUUGUGAUGGACUCAGAACAUCAUCAGAAGCAGAGGGCCCAGGGGAAAGAGCAGACCUUAGCUCAAGUCAGCCUGAAAGGAGAACAAAGAGAGAAGCAGGGAGGAAGAAGAGUUAAAGAGAAGAGAAAACAGCUAAACGUCUAACUGAGCCAAGGAGAUCAGCUGGAGAGUUGCUUGUUUGCACAGGGUGAUAGCUGAGCUGGAUUAGGGCUGGACUGAAUCAAACAUGAGGCAGUACAUUAUAGAAGGAUCCGGUCAAGUUGGGAGGGAAAGAGGCUGAAUACAGGGAUGUGUCAAGUGAAAGGGUAGUACAGAACAUAAAGUUUAGAAACUAAGACAAGCAUUCUUACAAGUGCAGUAUUGUCAUUUUGUCUCUUUUCCUUCCGAUGGUUCUUAUAACUGCAUUAACAGAUUAACGUAUGAUAUUACCUGAGUGCAGAGUCUGGAUUUUUUGCAUAAAGCAGGUUGGAAUCAGGUUUGGGGGGGGCAGGAGUGGCAUCAGAAAUUCCAGUCUGAGCAAUCUACUUUUAUUUCUGAUUACUAAAAAGAUAAUGAUGAUAAUAAUAAUAAAUCUAGAGUCAGUGCAAUACCUACCCA